UGGGGAAUUUUGGACAAUGGGCGAAAGCCUGAUCCAGCAAUGCCGCGUGUGUGAAGAAGGCCUUCGGGUUGUAAAGCACUUUUGUCCGGAAAGAAAUGGCUCUGGUUAAUACCUGGGGUCGAUGACGGUACCGGAAGAAUAAGGACCGGCUAACUACGUGCCAGCAGCCGCGGUAAUACGUAGGGUCCAAGCGUUAAUCGGAAUUACUGGGCGUAAAGCGUGCGCAGGCGGUUGUGCAAGACCGAUGUGAAAUCCCCGAGCUUAACUUGGGAAUUGCAUUGGUGACUGCACGGCUAGAGUGUGUCAGAGGGGGGUAGAAUUCCACGUGUAGCAGUGAAAUGCGUAGAGAUGUGGAGGAAUACCGAUGGCGAAGGCAGCCCCCUGGGAUAACACUGACGCUCAUGCACGAAAGCGUGGGGAGCAAACAGGA
rnacentral:rRNA from 2 species